GACGAACGCUGGCGGCGUGCCUAAUACAUGCAAGUCGAACGCAGUGGGAGCGGGUGAGUAACACGUGGGUAACCUCCCAUCAGAGGGGAUAACACUUGGAAACAGGUGCUAAACCGCAACUGAUGGAUGGACCCGCUGUGCAUUAGCUAGUUGGUGAGGUAACGGCUCACCAAGGCCACGAUGCAUAGCGGACCGGAGAGGGUGAUCGGCCACAUGGGAACUAAGAAACGGCCCAGACUCCUACGGGAGGCAGCAGUAGGAAAUGUUCGGCAAUGGACGAAAGUCUGACCGAGCACCGCCGCGUGAGUGAAGAGGGUUUUGGGAUCGUAAAACUCUGUUGUCAGAGAAGCGGUAUCUAACCAGAAAGCCACGGCUAACUACGUGCCAGCAGCCGCGGUAAUAC
rnacentral:rRNA from 1 species